UCACCAGUGCCGAAUAGAGGGGAAUAAUCACUUCCCUUGAUCUACUGGCAAUGCUCCUACCUAUACAGCUCAUUAUGACGUUAGCCUUCUUGGUAACAAAGGCACACUGUAAACCAGGAACAAAUAACAUAUUCCUGCAAGCCUCUAACAUGGGGUGUGUUUUCCUUUUGCAGCUCACUCACUGCUGUGCUUCACCUGUAAGGAUGCAUCCUCCAACUGGGAGUGUCUGGGAUCAACUACAUGUCAAAGUGAUGAAAACUACUGUGUGACCACGUAUCUUGGUGCAGGAAUUGGUGGACAUUCCGGGCAGAGCAUCUCCAAGGGGUGUGCUUCAGUUUGCCCCAACAGUGGGAUAAACAUAGGGAUAGCAGCCGCCUCUGUUUCCUGCUGCAGUUCUUCCUUGUGCAACAUCAGUGGGGCCACCAGCGUGAAAGUCAGCUACUCGGUGCUGGCCAUGGCGAUCUUGGCCAGCUUUUUCUAUAUCAGGGCUGGACUGUGAUCGGGCCAGGAAAAAAACCUUGAUUCCCUGAAGAACCUGCUCAGGGUUCUCCAACGAGACACCAAACCUCCCUC